rnacentral:rRNA from 1 species
GACGAACGCUGGCGGCGUGCUUAACACAUGCAAGUCGAACGAUGAAGAAGAGAAACGCGAACUUCGGUUCAAAUUUCACUUCGGAUUAGUGGCAGACGGGUGAGUAACGCGUGAGCAACCUACCUCUUACAAAGGGAUAGCCUCGGGAAACCGUGAUUAAUACCAUAUGACACCUUCAUAAGGCAUCUUAAGAAUGUUAAAGCUACGGCGGUAAGAGAUGGGCUCGCGUCCCAUUAGCUAGUUGGUGAGGUAACGGCCCACCAAGGCGACGAUGGGUAACCGGCCUGAGAGGGUGAACGGUCACAUUGGAACUGAGACACGGUCCAAACUCCUACGGGAGGCAGCAGUGGGGAAUAUUGCACAAUGGAGGGAACUCUGAUGCAGCGACGCCGCGUGAGCGAUGAAGGAAUUCGUGUCGUAAAGCUCUGUUCUAUGGGAAGAAAAGGACUGUACCAUAGGAGAAAGCCCCGGCUAAAUACGUG